CGGCGGAGGCCGCCCCUGCCUGUGCCCUCGCGCCGCGGCAGCUCCCGGCUCUGCCCCCCUACACACCUCCCGGAGCGGCUCUCCGGGCCGAGAGGGAGCAGCAUCUCCGGGCGGUCCCUCGGAGCCGCCCGCACCCGGCCCCGGGCAGCAGCCGGCGGCGGCAGGCGGGGCCCUGCCAGGAGCAGCACCGGGCCCCUCUCCAACAGCGCAAGCUCUCCCUGGCUUGGCUCAGGCGUCCAUUCCCGUCAUCGCGUCAUCCCAGCGCUGGCUGACAGGCUGGUUUGCCUCGCAGGAUCCUUGGAAAUUACACCUGUUCCACUACAAGGAGCAUCCAGCAAGACACGAUCAAACCCUCCCAGCACCUGCAGGCAGACAUGCGUUUGGAGUUAUGUUCGUGGGUGGAGACUGAAAUCAAGACUGAGAUUAGAAGUAGAACCAGAAGAUGGAGGAGGCAGGAAAGAGCUCUCACUCCUCUCUCCGCAUCAAACAAGCACACUCCCUUUCAACUCUGCUCGCUGUCCUGUUACAAGUGACUUCAUGGAGCACAACUUAACUACAAGGAUGGCACAGCUCUAGGUAGGCAUAGUAAGAUCACCCCAGAGCAGGUAGGAACUUACCUUGGGGAAAUGGCGCCCAUCGCAGUUGCUUACUACAGCAUUGGUGACUCCCAGCCGAUGCAAGUUCCCCACCACACUACGUAACCGCUCAGCAUUGCUGUCGUUCGCCAAGAUCAUACCUGUGUUCUUCAUAAGCUGAGCUGCCAAAGGGCCAAAUACAUCAGCAAGGGGCUGAAAACCUUUGCCCAUAGGGACUGUUUCACCCUUCCUUUCUGUGAAUUCAGUCCCAUUCUGUUCCCCUUUUCUAGAGGGACCACUAGAGGGACUAGUGGAAAUGCAUCACUUUGCAGAGUAUCUCUCCCAAGCCUCCCCACAAAGGCUCCAAUGAGGUACCUAUGUAGCUGGUCUUGCCUCCUGGGGCACAGCACAUAUCCAGGAUGCGUUCGUUCUCCUGUGGAGCCAGAGCCAUGACUGGGAGAAGACUAGAAGCUCCUUGCAGCAUGUAGUGGCCAGCCAGAUACUCAGGGGUGGCGCCUGGGCAGGGAAAGCAGAACAAAAGAAAGACAAGGACACAUUAAAGAAAGGGAGCCAAGAAAUGGCCAGCACUGCCCUGUGACAGAAAGGGUUAUCUCACCAAUGGGCACAGAGGAGUCAUAAAUAACAAGUCCAGUUUUUGACCACUUCCCCAAGGGGUCAAGAUUCACGCCACGGUUAAUUAGAGCCUGUAAGACAAAAAGUGAUUGAUGCCUUCGAGCUACCCUGCAUGACAGGCAGUGUAAGAGACAGCCCCGAGUUUCUGCUCACUUGUGCCAGAUCCCGUCGUCGUGUCUUGAGUGUGUUGGUGCGAAUGGUCACAGGGCGGGGAACCUCAUUGGCUUCCAGAAAGUUUAUCAGCUACAAUAAGGAAGGACCAGAAAACUUGAGGUAAAAAUGAAGUUCUGGGGAGGUAGCCAAAUUCCCACCAGCCAGUAAAGAUAUGGGCUGAGCAGGAUCCUACCUCAGGGAGUGGGAAAAUGUCCAUGAGCUUCUUCAGCAAGAAGUCACUGUAGGAAUAGUAGGCAGCCAUGUCCCGGCGCAGUAAUGUAAGGUACUCCUGUCGUGUACGUCCUUCCUCCCGCUUCACCCCAAAAUCCUGCAGCACCUCCAUGUUGCCCUUGAUACGCUGGUGAAUGAUGUGCAAAUCAGGUGGCUCAGCAGGUAGAAGGACUGUUAAGGAAUAGUGAACAACCAAGGAAUUCACACACAAGCUUUUCACAAGCAUAGCCAGUCAGGCAAGAGUCCUGAAUCACCACAUACAGCAGCUGCACAAGAAAGGCUCUGCUGGAGUAUGCACAUCUACCAGCUUUCACUGGUGCUGGGCAGAAGGGGGAUUCAAAGGAUCGCAACCAGACAGGGAAACCAAGGAAAAUGAGGUAUUUGAAAGAAUUGAGUUUGGUUAGUCUAGAAAAGCAAAAAGCAAAAAGCAAAAGAAAAAGAUAUGGAAGAAGAGACAUGAAAAAGGCCUUUCAAUACUGAAAACAUUACUUGUAACAGAAAGGAGACUAAAAGUUCUCCAAAGGCAACUAGCAAGAGUAAAGAAGGCAGAGAAGAAGCAAUACAAUUGGACUGGGGGAAGGGUGAGAGAGAUGAAGUAUCACUAAAGCCCAAGAACAAGCACUCUGGAUGCUGGUAUUGCUGUGGUCAGAGGCUCCAAGAACGAGUUAGCCAAACAUGUAACAGGCAAUAACAGGUUCCCCGACUAUGCUGUACAGAAGUGCAGAACCACACAGCUACCACUCUCUGCUGGGGCAAUUCAACUAAAAAUAGCUUGUCAGGCACAAAUCUUGCUAAACAACGCUCAUAAUAAAGUGCAAAUGAAGCUC